rnacentral:rRNA from 1 species
GGGGAAUCUUGCGCAAUGCGCGAAAGCGUGACGCAGCAACGCCGCGUGGGGGAAGAAGGCCUUCGGGUUGUAAACCCCUUUCAGGAGGGACGAAGCCUGGCUGGUGAAUAGCCAGUCCAGGUGACGGUACCUCCACAAGAAGCCCCGGCUAACUACGUGCCAGCAGCCGCGGUAAUACGUAGGGGGCAAGCGUUGUCCGGAAUCAUUGGGCGUAAAGAGCGCGUAGGCGGCCCAGUAAGUCCGCUCUGAAAGUCAGGGGCUCAACCCCUGAAUGCGGGUGGAUACUGCUGGGCUAGAGUCCGGAAGAGGCGAGUGGAAUUCCUGGUGUAGCGGUGAAAUGCGCAGAUAUCAGGAGGAACACCGAUGGCGAAGGCAGCUCGCUGGGACGGUACUGACGCUGAGGCGCGAAAGCGUGGGGAGCAAAC